rnacentral:rRNA from 1 species
UACGGAGGACUCAAGCGUUACCCGGAUUUAUUGGGCGUAAAGCGUUGCGUAGGUGGUUUAGUAAGUGAGACAUGAAAUGUUAGGGCUCAACCCUGAAAGCGUAUCUCAAACUACUAAACUCGAGGAUGGUAGAGGCAAGUGGAAUUCCAGGUGUAGGAGUGAAAUCCGUAGAUAUCUGGAGGAACACCAAUGGCGAAGGCAGCUUGCUGGGCCAUUCCUGACACUGAGUCACGAAAGCGUGGGGAGCGAACCGGG